rnacentral:rRNA from 1 species
GACGAACGCUGGCGGUGUGCUUAACACAUGCAAGUCGAACGGAAAGGCCCUGCUUUUGUGGGGUGCUCGAGUGGCGAACGGGUGAGUAACACGUGAGUAACCUGCCCUUGACUUUGGGAUAACUUCAGGAAACUGGGGCUAAUACCGGAUAGGAGCUCCUGCUGCAUGGUGGGGGUUGGAAAGUUUCGGCUGUUGGGGAUGGACUCGCGGCUUAUCAGCUUGUUGGUGGGGUAGUGGCUUACCAAGGCUUUGACGGGUAGCCGGCCUGAGAGGGUGACCGGCCACAUUGGGACUGAGAUACGGCCCAGACUCCUACGGGAGGCAGCAGUGGGGAAUAUUGCACAAUGGGCGGAAGCCUGAUGCAGCAACGCCGCGUGCGGGAUGACGGCCUUCGGGUUGUAAACCGCUUUCGCCUGUGACGAAGCGUGAGUGACGGUAAUGGGUAAAGAAGCACCGGCUAACUACGUG